rnacentral:rRNA from 1 species
AUGAAUAGUAUGUGUUCUACUGAAGAAAAGAAAAGAAAGGAAAACAUGAAUAGUAUGUGUUUUGCUGAAGAAACGAAAAGAAAAGAAAACAUGAAUAGUAUGUGUUUUGCUGAAGAAAAGAAAAGAAAAGAAAACAUCAAGUACGUGUGUGAUGUAGCAGAGCACCUACUUGUGUGGUCCACUGAAUUAUGUCUCAACUUGGUUGGUGGUCAGUCACCACCUUCACAAGAAAAGAAAAAGUGCUCCACCACAAUAUCACAUCAUCAUGCAUUUCGGCACGUGCCAUCCAAAGCGAUCGGUGUGGUAGGAGGGAGGAGUACCACUUACUCAUUUGCUACCCGUCCAUCGGAUAAGCCAUCCCCAAUAAUUACUUUGUGCUCAAUUUUUUCUUUCACUUUGUGGUCAAGAAAAUUUACUAAAACGUUUGGCCAGUCAAUCAAUCCAUCCCCAAUAAUUAACCCCUUGAGCCACCAACCCAAGAUUGGAGAUCACUCUCCUGAUUCGAUUCACGUGCCUCUGCCAUACAAAAUCUGA